rnacentral:rRNA from 1 species
CCUACGGGAGGCAGCAGUGGGGGAUAUUGCACAAUGGGGGGAACCCUGAUGCAGCGACGCCGCGUGAGUGAAGAAGUAUUUCGGUAUGUAAAGCUCUAUCAGCAGGGAAGAUAAUGACAGUACCUGAAUAAGAAGCCCCGGCUAACUACGUGCCAGCAGCCGCGGUAAUACGUAGGGGGCAAGCGUUAUCCGGAUUUACUGGGUGUAAAGGGAGCGUAGACGGAAUGGCAAGUCUGAAGUGAAAUGCCCGGGCUCAACCCGGGAACUGCUUUGGAAACUGUCGAUCUGGAGUGUUGGAGAGGUAAGUGGAAUUCCUGGUGUAGCGGUGAAAUGCGUAGAGAUCAGGAAGAACACCGGAGGCGAAGGCGGCUUACUGGACAAAGACUGACGUUGAGGCUCGAAAGCGUGGGAAGCAAACAGGAUUAGAUACCCCUGUAGUC